rnacentral:lncRNA from 1 species
UGUUGUUACGUCUCUAGUACAGAGUAAUGCACUGGAGGAAGUCCGGCUGGCUUCAUUUGGGAGUGGGGCGGGGGAAUGAAAAGGAAGAACACUGUUAUUUUAGGGAAAUGUUUUGAGGAAUUUAGUGUAUUUUUUUCUGGCACCCACUCAGAAAAAUACUGUAAGCAAACUGUGAAACUUGGGUAGGAAUGUCCUAGUCGUCUCAUUAGCAAUUUAAACAAAACUAAGACUCGAACGCAAGUGUAAAGAUAAACAACAUCAGGAAAGGAAUUCUUCAGUAUGUCCUGAGAAAGUUGUCAUUGAAAUGAGUUUAUCAUUAAUUGAUUUGUGUACUUGGUGUGCUUGUUUUAUUCUCACAUUUGCUGUGUUAAACAGAUGAAUGUCAGCUCUUUUGUACUUAGCAAAUUAGUGAUUCUUCCCCCCUCCACCAAAUCCCUGAUUGGUCACUUUAGGUAUGACUCACCCUGUUGAAAAUGCACAAACAUAGCAAAAAAAUGGUACAUUAGUCAGAGUUCUCUGGAGAAAACCAAUAAAAUGACAUAGAUCUAUACACCCAGGCACCUGUCUACUUACUUUGGUACCUGCCUACCUACCUACUUAAACAUUUAGAGAUUGCCUGGGUAAGGAAAUGACCUGUGAUUGUGGGGCCUGGCACGUUCAAACUGUGCAGUUUUGAGGCAGGCUGGAAACUUAUGCAGGGUUUAUCAUUUGCAGGUUUGAGGCAGAAUUUUUUCUUUGAGAAGCCUGAGUCUUUGCCCUUAGGGCAUUCAACUGAUUGGAUGUGACCCACCUACACCAAGGCGGGUGUAUUAAGCUCUCCAGAGAAGCAGAAUCAAUAGGUUGGUUGUGUGUAUGUAUACAUAUACAUAUGUGUGUUCGUAUGUAUGUGUGUAUAUAUAUAUAUGAUUAGCAUAAGGAAUUGGUUCAUAUGAUUAUGGAGUCUGAGAAGCCCCCAAAUAUUUGCAUUUGGCAAACUGGAGAGUCAAAAAAGCUGAUGAUAUAGUUCCAAUCCAAAAACUGGUAAGCUCAACACCAAGAAGAGCCAGGGUUUCAGUUUGAGUCUAAAGGCAGGAAAAGACUGAGAGUGCAGUUCAGGGUGGUCGGUUGGAAAAGGUGCCCUCUUAACUCCUGAGAGGGUGGGCUUUACUGUUCUAUUCAGGCCUUCACCUGACUGGUUGAUGCAACUGAUUGCUUACAUUAGGGAGGAAAAUUGGCUUUACUCAGUCUGUGAACUCAAAUGUCCACUUUAUCAAAACAUCCUCAUAGACACACCUGGAAUAAUGCUUGACCAAAUAUCUAGGCACCUGCAACUCAAUCAAGCAUUAUAUUAACCUUUUUUUUUUUUUUCCCAUUGUUAAAAGUACUGGGACCGAUGAUUUAAGUUGUUUCUUUUCCUCCAGUCUCUUAUUUUUAUUUUUAUUUAUUUAUUUUUUUAGGACUACACCCCGAGGCAUAUGGAAGUUCCCAGGCUAGGGGUUGAAUCAGAGCUGUAGCUGCUGGCCACAGCCACAGCAAUAUGGGAUCCGAACUACAUCUUCGACCUACACCACAGCUCAUGGCAACGCCGGAUUCUUAACCCACUGAGCAAGGCCAGGGAUCAAAACCCUCAUCCUUGGGGAUACUAGUCGGAUGCAUUUCCACUGCACCACAAUGGGAAUUUCCUCUUCCAGUCUUUUAAAUAAAAGGGUAUAUUUUAAACCAUCUUGAAAAUGUUUGCAAAAAUGUUUCGAAUGUUUGAAAGCUUUUCUCUCUUUCACAUGUUUGUCCUAGUGGUCAGAGCAAAAAGACCAAAAUGGGCCCUGGGGCUCCCAGAUGUUUGUCCAGUAUCUGCGACUCACUAACUUGAUCAUUUGAGAAAGAGAAUCCUCUUGAACCGCAGUUUUCUUCUGUUUAUGAAUUGUUUGGGUUUGGCGAUCUCUAAUGACCUUUUCAGCUUGAAAAUGUUAUUAAUCUGGGAUUUCUUAAGACUGUUACCCAACGCAAAUCCAUAUGCGCGACGCACACUGAGGCCAAACAAUACUGAUAGGUCAGAAUUUGGAGCAGAGCAAGGUUGAUUGCAGGGCCAUGCAAGGAGAUGGAUGACUUGUGCCUCCAAAAGCCCUGAACUCCCUGAAGGCUUUCAUCAAAGCCCUUUUAAAGGCAGGAUGAGGGAGGGGCAUUGUUAGUUGUCGCAGAUUUCUUGGUGUGUUCCUGUAAAGCUCCAACAAAACAGAUGUUAUUCUCUGUUCUGCAAGUUUUUGUCUAAAAAUGUAAUACUCUUAAAGGUCAUGGCCCUAAGAAGAGGCUGUGUAUUUCAGGCUAUAGGGAGCAUCCUGUAGGCGGCAUAUUUUUGCAAAAGGAGCGGAGCCAGGACGACUUAGCACAAGUGACAGAGGACAAGAAUUAAAGUAAGGUCAAAAUAAAAAGAACAGAUUCAAUAUAGAGUCAAAGUUGUUCUUCCCUAUUACAAGAGGGGUGGGUAGGGGGUACCUGGUCCCGUCCAUUAUUCCAUGCUGGAAGAUUGGAAGUGGUGUACAGGGGAACAAUGUUUAGUUUAAUAAUUCAGUAUUUUACUGUGAGUUUGAACCAAAUAGGAUUUGCAAAAAAAAAAUCAAGGCUUCCUGAUUAUUGAUGCUUAGGACAAGGUGAAAACAAAAGGAAUCAUUUUAGUGAAAAAUAUUAAGAAAAUAUGUGUUUUAUGCAUGUAUGGAGAAACAUUAGAAAUAUUGCAAGCCUGGGAUAGGUCCAAUAUACUCUAUUAAUUCAUGAAUCUAAGUUGAUGUGCUCUUAUGUUGCUUUUCAUGAGACCCAGAAAGACCACAGUUCUCUUAGGAGAACAGUGUAGAUGGUGAUUUAACCAUUUGCUUGACCUGCAUUGAGUGUAACCUGACAACUACUGUGCCAGGUCCCAGGAUCCUUGGGUGAGUGGUUGUGACUUAGACCUUUGGUAGCUUGUAGUCUCAUGGGAUGUCAGGAGUGCAAAUGAGUAAUUGUAACCUAGUAUCAUAUCUGCAGUAGUGCAAGUAUGUACUAGGGACCAGACUGGGGAGAGCAGAGAGGAAGGAGGCCACCUCUUCCAUGGGAGCACCAGGGAAAGCAUCGCUGCAAUUAUGCUUGACCUGGCUAACACAUUGGGAAUGGCCAUUCCAGGUCUAGGGAAUGGGCAGUCCGGAGGCUUUCAGCAGAUUCUUGGGAUUCUUGGUGUUUCCUGAUAUGUGUUUUCGUAUAGGAAGAACCUACUAGAGAAGAUGUUGUUUUCACUCUCUCUUCCCAGUUCCAUGCCACAAGCCUGAGCUAAUCUUGCAGUAUUCAUGGAUUAGAUUCUGGAACAUUGGCCACCAUCUCUACACUCUCCUGCUACCUGGCUCAGGGCUUUUUUUUUCUUUCUCUCCUGAAUGAGUCCUAAGUAAAAAUCCGCAUAUCCUCUAAACAUUCAUUUUCAAUAUGGCUUUUGCUAUUUUUAAAAAGGCAGAGAGAAGAAAAAUGAUUUUCAUGAUCUUGGAUGAGGGAAGACUUUGUGGCCCUAAUUAAAUGCCUGAGUUUGGUUUUGUGUUUGCUGGGAGCCUACUGUAAAGCAAACCGAUGUGGCCUUCUGUUCUGUUCCAGGCGCCAAGAGCUUGCUGGGCUGGGUUCCCACUGAGUCUGGUAAUGCUUUCCUUCUGUCCCACCCUGUAUUGCAGAGCUUCGGAGGCUGAUGACAUCACCUUGGAUGAUAAAGCUGUCCUCCAAAGGGUUACAAGAAGAGCUGCCAGAGUGGAGCAAGGGAUGGAGGUGGGGGUGCAGAGGGGCUUGCCGCUCUGUCCAACGUUGUCAUUGCAUUUGCCUUCUUAAAAAAAAAAAAAAAUCCUCUGUAGAAAUAGGAGAGAUUACACUUUUAAAUGUGAAGUAUUUUAUGGGGCUAAUUUAUUGCUCCAUUGCCGCCUGCCCUGCAAGCAGAUCUGUUCAUCUGUUCCCUUGACAGCCUGCAGAUUUAAGUUUGCCUUGCCUCCCAGUAGGCCUCAUCUGGACACCUUGGGAGCUGGUGGGAAUCAUGUAUAAAGUAGGUGUGGGCUGCCAGGGAGAAUCGUUUGAUGCAGUGUUCCUCUGGUUGAAAAUUUUCCUGUCAGGGCUGGGGGUUUACUGAUGCUUCUCGCCAUCCCAUCCUCAAUUCAGUUGUUCAAAGCUCCUCAUCGUUGUUUAAGUCCCAUCUUCAGUGCCACCUCUUGCAGGCACCUUCCCUGACUGUAUAAGGCGUGGGUGAGACCCCACCCUGCGCUUGGUAGCGUCACUUCUCAGUUGCCUCACUGCACUGCAGGCUGCGGGAAGGCAGGGAUGAUGGCAUUUGCGGGGAGCUUACCUCGUGCCAAGCCCCUUCUAAGUGCUUUCCGUGAGAGGCUGAGUUCCAGUCCCUAAGCUAGGCCACGCAUGUGAACUCUUUGAGGGUGAAAGAGGCAGGACUUGGGCUGAGGUUGGGCCAUGAUAAGGGGCCCUGGCUUUGGAGGUAGAAAUGAUCUUAGCCUGACGCCCUCUGAGCUUGUUACUCAGGGAACUCUAAUCUCAGUUGCCAGGCAUAUGACCACAGGGUGCUUGAGCCGUGUUUACCAUAUUUCAUCCCUUGCAAAUGGGACACUUUUUAAAAGCACCCACUUUUUGGGGGCUGUUCCUGUGGCCUGAGGAAGUUCCCGGGCAAGGGAUUGAACCUGAGCCAUGGCAGUGACAAUGCCAAGUUCUCAACUGCAGGCCACCUUUAACAUUUUUAACAUUUUUGAAACUGAGAAACAUCUUACAG